rnacentral:rRNA from 1 species
GUAGGGAAUAUUGGGCAAUGGUCGGAAGACUGACCCAGCCAUGCCGCGUGCAGGAAGACGGCCCUCUGGGUUGUAAACUGCUUUUAUCUGGGAAGAAAAAGGCCAUGCGUGGCAAAUUGCCGGUACCAGAUGAAUAAGCACCGGCUAACUCCGUGCCAGCAGCCGCGGUAAUACGGAGGGUGCGAGCGUUGUCCGGAUUUAUUGGGUUUAAAGGGUGCGUAGGCGGCUGAUUAAGUCAGCGGUGAAAGACUUCGGCUUAACCGGAGCAGUGCCGUUGAUACUGGUUGGCUUGAGUGUCGGAGGGGUACAUGGAAUUGAUGGUGUAGCGGUGAAAUGCAUAGAUACCAUCAGGAACACCGAUAGCGAAGGCAUUGUACUGGCCGACAACUGACGCUGAUGCACGAAAGUGUGGGGAUCGAACAGGAUUAGAUACCCGGGUAGUCC